GGAAGGCCAUCCUGACUCACACUUCCCCUUGCAGAACUUCUCUGUGACCUUGGAGACAUCACUCAACCUUCAGGUACCUGAUGUGCAAAAUGGGCCUGACUGUCCCAGUCCUGCGCUUCCGAAGGCUAAUGGAAGGCUCUGAGGGGAUGGUCAUGGAGAUGCUUUUCUGACUGUGAAGUGCCUGGGAGGGGCGUGUGGUUCCGUAAGGGGGUGGCUACUGAGUUCAGAAUGUGGGACGCUGCCACCUUUAACCUUCUUUGGAACAAGGCAAGGUAAACGUAGAAAGAGAUGGGGUGGAAACAGACGGGUUGCUCUCACUGUGUGUGUGCUGUGUGUGCAGGAAUUCGUCAGCCCUCUCUGUGCCUCUCUGCUUACCUUCUGUACAGUGGGACUGUGGCAGGUGCUCAACGUGUAAAUUGCUUCAUAACUCAGGAGCAAGGAAGGAGCCAGGAGAUUACGAGAUGAGGAGGGUGGUCCCAGCCCUGCAUGCUGUCACCACUGUGGGUGUCCCCCACAGGGACCUGAAAUCAGCUGGGAAGAGUGGCUUCUCUUGGCGCCAUUACCAGCCUGUGACCUUGGCAAGUCACUCAGCCUCUUUCCUCUAACAUCAGUUAAACAGGGGUAGGACGUCUCCUCUUUCUACCUCCAAAGCACUUGGCCUGGUGGUAACCUCAAAGCAGACACUCGGUAAAGCCUUAAUGAACGGAGAUGGGUGGCAUGCGGACUGGAGCAGAGGGCAGCCGGAGACCUGUUGCUUCUGCCACGGACAAGCUGCGGGAUCUCUGGGCUUUAGUUUCCCCAUUUGUAAAGGAGGAAGCUGGACGGGGUAAUCUCUAAGGAUCCUCCCAGCUCUGCCGGCUCUGAAAUGGGAAUGGAUGAGGUGCUUCUGUUCUUUCUUACUCAUUAAGUCAUUUCUCAAAUGUUUAGUGCACAUCCACUCUCAGCCAGGCACCAGGAGCCUGAUUCCAUUUUGUUUUCAUAAAAGUCCUGUGAGGCGCAUAGGCAGCUAGCUAGCCACAUGCC
rnacentral:lncRNA from 1 species